GUGAGUAGUUCAGAGUUUGAUCCUGGCUCAGGAUGAACGCUGGCGGCGUGCCUAACACAUGCAAGUCGAGCGAAACACUUAAGUUAGAUUCUUCGGAUGAAGACUUAUUUGAUUGAGCGGCGGACGGGUGAGUAACGCGUGGGUAACCUGCCUCAUACAGGGGGAUAGCAGUUGGAAACGACUGAUAAUACCGCAUAAGCGCACGGCAUCGCAUGAUGCAGUGUGAAAAACUCCGGUGGUAUGAGAUGGACCCGCGUCUGAUUAGCUAGUUGGUGGGGUAAUAGCCUACCAAGGCGACGAUCAGUAGCCGGCCUGAGAGGGUGAACGGCCACAUUGGGACUGAGACACGGCCCAA
rnacentral:rRNA from 1 species